rnacentral:rRNA from 1 species
UGAGGAAUAUUGGUCAAUGGACGCAAGUCUGAACCAGCCAAGUCGCGUGAAGGAUGAAGGUAUUAUGUAUUGUAAACUUCUUUUAUACGGGAAUAAAAAACGCCACGUGUGGCGUAUUGCAUGUACCGUAUGAAUAAGGAUCGGCUAACUCCGUGCCAGCAGCCGCGGUAAUACGGAGGAUCCGAGCGUUAUCCGGAUUUAUUGGGUUUAAAGGGUGCGUAGGCGGUUUGUUAAGUCAGUGGUGAAAGUUUGCGGCUCAACCGUAAAAUUGCCAUUGAAACUGGCGAACUUGAGUACAGUAGAGGUAGGCGGAAUUCGUGGUGUAGCGGUGAAAUGCUUAGAUAUCACGAAGAACUCCGAUUGCGAAGGCAGCUUACUGGACUGUAACUGACGCUGAGGCACGAAAGCGUGGGGAUCAAACA